AUUGAACGCUGGCGGCAUGCCUUACACAUGCAAGUCGAACGGCAGCACGGGUGCUUGCCCCUGGUGGCGAGUGGCGAACGGGUGAGUAAUACAUCGGAACAUGUCCUGUAGUGGGGGAUAGCCCGGCGAAAGCCGGAUUAAUACCGCAUACGAUCUACGGAUGAAAGCGGGGGACCUUCGGGCCUCGCGCUAUAGGGUUGGCCGAUGGCUGAUUAGCUAGUUGGUGGGGUAAAGGCCUACCAAGGCGACGAUCAGUAGCUGGUCUGAGAGGACGACCAGCCACACUGGGAGUGAGAGACCGCCCAGACUCGUACGGGGGGAAGAAGUGGGGAAUUUGGGAAAAUGGGAGAAAGCAUGAUCCAGCAAUGCCCGGUGUGUGAAGAAAGCCUUCGGGUUGUAAAGAACUUUUGCCCAGAAAGAAAAACUUGGCUCUAAUACAGUCGGGGGAAGACGGUACCGAAAGAAUAAGCACCGGCUAACUACG
rnacentral:rRNA from 1 species